rnacentral:rRNA from 1 species
GACGUAGGGCGCGAGCGUUUGUCCGGAUUUAUUGGGCGUAAAGAGCUCGUAGGCGGCUUGUCGCGUCGGCUGUGAAAACCCGCGGCUCAACUGUGGGCGGGCAGCUGAUACGGGCAGGCUGGAGUUCGGUAGGGGAGACUGGAAUUCCUGGUGUAGCGGUGAAAUGCGCAGAUAUCAGGAGGAAUACCGAGUGGCGAAGGCAGGUCUCUGGGCUGACACUGACGCUCGAUGCACGAAAGCGUGGGGAGCAAACGGG